UACGUAGGGCGCAAGCGUUGUCCGGAAUUACUGGGCGUAAAGGGUGCGUAGGCGGUUCGUUAAGUCUGUCGUGAAAUCCCCGGGCUCAACCUGGGAAUGGCGAUGGAUACUGGCGAGCUAGAGUGUGUCAGAGGAUGGUGGAAUUCCCGGUGUAGCGGUGAAAUGCGUAGAGAUCGGGAGGAACAUCAGUGGCGAAGGCGGUUCUCUGGGCCUGUACUGACGCUGAGGAGCGAAAGCGUGGGGAGCGAACAGG
rnacentral:rRNA from 1 species